rnacentral:rRNA from 1 species
AACGCUGGCGGCAUGCCUUACACAUGCAAGUCGAACGGUAACGGGCCUUCGGGUGCCGACGAGUGGCGAACGGGUGAGUAAUACAUCGGAACGUGCCCGAUCGUGGGGGAUAACGAGGCGAAAGCUUUGCUAAUACCGCAUACGAUCUACGGAUGAAAGCAGGGGACCGCAAGGCCUUGCGCGGACGGAGCGGCCGAUGGCAGAUUAGGUAGUUGGUGGGAUAAAAGCUUACCAAGCCGACGAUCUGUAGCUGGUCUGAGAGGAUGAUCAGCCACACUGGGACUGAGACACGGCCCAGACUCCUACGGGAGGCAGCAGUGGGGAAUUUUGGACAAUGGGCGCAAGCCUGAUCCAGCCAUGCCGCGUGCAGGAUGAAGGCCUUCGGGUUGUAAACUGCUUUUGUACGGAACGAAAAGCCUUCUUCUAAUACAGGAGGGUCAUGACGGUACCGUAAGAAUAAGCACCGGCUAACUACGUG